rnacentral:tRNA from 1 species
GGCCCGUUCGUCUAGGGGUUAGGACGCUGCCCUCUCAAGGCGGUAACACGAGUUCGAAUCUCGUACGGGCUACAA